CCUACGGGAGGCAGCAGUGAGGAAUAUUGGUCAAUGGACGAGAGCCUGAACCAGCCAAGUAGCGUGAAGGAUGAAUGCCCUAUGGGUUGUAAACUUCUUUUAUAAGGGAAUAAAACGAGGAACGUGUUCCUUUUUGCAUGUACUUUAUGAAUAAGCAUCGGCUAACUCCGUGCCAGCAGCCGCGGUAAUACGGAGGAUCCGAGCGUUAUCCGGAUUUAUUGGGUUUAAAGGGUGCGUAGAUGGUUUGUUAAGUCAGUUGUGAAAGUUUGUGGCUCAACCGUAAAAUUGCAGUUGAUACUGGCAGUCUUGAGUAUAGUUGAGGUAGGCGGAAUUCGUGGUGUAGCGGUGAAAUGCAUAGAUAUCACGAAGAACCCCGAUUGCGAAGGCAGCUUACUAAACUGUGACUGACACUGAUGCACGAAAGUGUGGGGAUCAAACAGGAUUAGAUACCCCUGUAGUC
rnacentral:rRNA from 1 species